UCCACCUGUGCUGUUACGUGUUUGCUUCUCCUUCCAUCGAUUAGCAUUGCUUGAGUACAGAGAGUGACAGAGGUAGAGAGAGAGAGUGAGGGUCUUCUUCUUUGCUUCCGCAGAAAGAGAGAGAAGGGAAAUGGGUUCUGGUUCCGCGCCUAAGCCAAGAAUUGGUUAUGGUUCUGAUCAUCUCUGCAUCUUCGUUUCCCCUUCAGCUUGAAAUUCAAUUUCUUUCCGAUUUUCAUUCACAACUAUCAGCCGUGGAAUACCCCUUUCAAAUUUGCAUGUAUGAAAAAUCAAAAUUUUUUACGACACUACCAUUCACCGAGGUAUAAAAUCCUAUCGAUCAGCCACAGAGUUCUGUUUUGUUUUCCGCUCUCUCCCCGCUCUUCUUUUCGUCAGUCGUCUCAGAGCUUCUUCAUAUUGAUCGGCGCAAUGAAAUCCCUUCUGAGCUUCAUCGCAAACCCUAAAUAAAAACUUGAAUUCGUCACCAGCAAGGUCAUUAAAUUCGUCGGAGGCUCGGCGCCUUCGAUAAGUGUUUUUGCUAUCUAGAAUUUUGUUGGGUACCGAUUAAUUUCCCACUUUGAAUUUAGCAUGAGAAUUGAUUUGGUUACAGGAGACCGGUUAUUGGGCGAAGGAGAAGAUGAUUCUUUUUGGUUUGCUAUGAAUCUGGUUUUGUGUAAUUCGUCAGUUUGGUUGUGUAUGUGUUCAAAUUAAAGUAUGCAGCUGGUUCUUUUGUUUUGUAUUGUUGAGUGGUUGAAUGAAGUUGAAUACUGUGCUAUUUGUCCCUGUGUAUCAAAAUUAACCUUGCAUCAGUUGUGUUGUUAAAUUCUUGAAUUUUUCAUUUUCUCAAGUUGAGUAGUUUCAGCAUAGAUAUGAGGUUAGAUGUAAGUUCAGUUCCAGUGGAAACAUGAUGUUGCAUAGUCAUAUUUUAUGUAGUUGACAUGGUCUGAUACUCUAAUGUAGAUAAACCCAUAUGUCAUUGGAAUUCUUGAAGAAGCUGGCCUAAAAUUUGUAAGGAAGGAUGACAGAGGAAGAAGAAUGGAGCUGGUUUUUCUUCUGGUCUGAUGUUUGGCUGCCUUGCUUACAUUAACUUGAACAUUUGUCAGAGUUUAGUUCUUUAUAGUUGCACAAAUUCCUAUUCUUUUGUAUACGUACUGAAAAGUGUUUACGGUGUUUUCUGUCUUGAAGCUUAUUAAUUUAUGUAUCUAUUAUUAUUAUCAUAUUGGCAGGGUGAUUUUCUACUUUGCACGAAGUUUUCUGAAUAUGGAAACUAUGGGGAAGAAAAAUGACAGUGAGCAGAAUGGAGAGACUGCGAACCAAGGCCCCCCCCUUUGAAAUGAUACCGCGUCACUUCCCUCUCAGGCCAUAAUAAUUUGACCAGGACUUGCUUGAUGGUGUGAGAAGAUGUGUGGAGCAAAUUGACAAAGCUAGCCGCGGGAUCUGAGUGCCGAUGAAUUGAAGGUGGUGCAGACUAAGGGAAUGCAGGACCCAGCGUCGUGUUAUCCGGAAUUGAGCCGCUAAUGCAGAAGAUACAUUGUGAAAUUUGGCUCGUAGAUGCUGGAAUUCUAGCUGCAGUUAAUCAACAGCAGGUUGUCGAAUCUGAGAAUAUCCUGCAGAGCUUUCUUAACGGUUCAUUUCAAAGUAGUGCAGUGAAUUUGUACAAGUACACCUGCCUUCAUUUGUUGAGGAAGCUAUUGGAGAGACCCAGAAGCCGACCUAUGCUUCUAUAUUGCGCAUUGCUAAAGGACAAGCUGCAUCAUCUGUGGCUCCUCAGCAUUCAAUUUACGAGACUGCACUACUGGCUUCAGAUUGGAAUGACUUUUCAGUCCAAUGCAGUUGAAAGGGCUGUAGCAGAGACAGCAGGAAGUUUCCACCCUAGAAGAUGAAGAGCCCACCUGUACGAUUUAUGUGGCACCGUGUUUUCGUCUUCCGCGUGUCUUCUUCUCCUCUCCACCGAACGACCUCUUGGGGGAGAGACAUCACAUCAGAAAAUGCUGCAGACACCACUCAAAUUACAUAUUCUGAUCGUACACCAUUGUACCUUUAAACCCUCUGCCUGUCUCGAGUAAAUCUCGAUUGCCACGGAGUGUUGUGCUGUCUCUUUCUGGCCAUCUGCCGUGUUGUUCUGUUGCCAUGAAGAGAGAGGGUUCGAUCGGUAGCCUAAAAGAGAGAGGUAGAGUAUCGGUUUAAUCCAGAGAGACAGAAAAAGAGAGAGAUAGAUAGAGGGCGAGGAGUUUGCAUGACUGGCGAUUUGAGCUGUUUUGGCGCAGAGAUUUUGGUUGUUGUUUGCUGACGAGUUGUCUACUAUUUGGUUGGUAAUUUUUUCUUCGUCAAUAAUGUUUGUGUUGAUUCCCUCUGAUGUUCUUAAUUUGCUGAAAAGAAAAAGUGGGAUUGUUCGAGGUUCAAUCUUCUCAGGAUUAUUUGCUUGGGAACAAAGAAAGAAAGAAAGUAGGGAUCAAUAUUCGGGAACCUCUCCUUCUGGAAAAACAGGUCCAAUGGUGGCUGGAAUUUAAGGUCCACUUGACCCAAUCCCAGCAUCAAGCAGAUCUUGAGAUAUAGCAACCUGUUAAACCAAUAUCUCCAGCAAUAAAGCCUCAUUAUUGUUACAGAUCUGAAGCUCAAAAGAUCAAUUCAUUGGUAUUUAGAUUAUAAAGAAUGACAUCUUGAAGCCAAUUACAUGGAUACAGAAUGCUAAAAACGACAGCCAAAAAUUGAUGGAUCGAUCUGCUAUUGGGUUGUCUCCUUGGAAAAGGGCAUUAUGCGCUCCUUAGACAAGCAGAGCUAAAAACAUUGGUGGAUCUGCAUGCGAAUGAGGUUUGCUUCUUACUAAAUGCAUAGAGCAAACAAGUUGAAGGAAAUCUGUCUUUUGUGACAGACUUCUGUUAUGCAAAGCAGGGCCAGGGAAAGGUGGAGAUUUGUUGCAUCAUGAAAGUGAGGCUUACUCUUGAGGAAAAGAGAGGAGACAAUAAGUGGGUUCCGCCGAUACACAGCAAAAGAGAGGAGAUGAGAGGAGGGACAAGGGGAUGGGAAGAGCAUGAAUCUGGCUAUUUGAUUGUUAAAGCAUCAGGUGAAAGUCAUUCAGUUUGUAAUUGUCUCUUUGACUGGAUGGGGUGUGCUUAUCUUUAGUGGAUACAAGUUUUUCACCGGAGACAAAGGCAAGAUGGAAGAGGGAAAUAUCUAAGGCAUGCAUCACCAUGUGGCACGAUGGAGUUCGAUUCUAUUAAGCAUCAUAUACCUUUCUUCCCCUGGAUUGCAUCAACAGGAAAUGGAGCACCUGGAUGGAAACAAGCACUCUCAGCUUUACAAUGUCAAGAAGGGCAAGGUAAGUUUGGGUCAGGCGGUUUGUUGCAGAUGUAGGAGUUCAGAGAGGUUUUUAAACAAAAUUGUGGCCUUUAUGCAUGGUUUUGAAGACGAGGAAUUAAUUGACAUUUGAAUUGAUAGUGGCUAUAUCAGCUAGCAUUGGUUCUAUUGCUCAUUCAAAAAAAUAAAAUAACAAUAAAUAAAGAGAUGAUCACCAGAGAGGAAGGAAUUGUUCAAAGCAAAACCGAGCAAGAACCCAAAAAGGCAAGUUUUAAAAUUUUCGCUUCAAUUCUAAUUUCAGGACCGUACUCAUUGUUUGCAGUUUCUUUUCCACUUAGUUUUUGCGUUUUAUCUACUCUGUCCGUUCUAUUUAGUCAUCCCUUAGUUAAUGAGCCAAUCUUUUAUGUAUAACCUUCAUUUGCUCUGUAUAUUUCAGAAUUCAGACACAACUAUGAAGAUGAAACAACACCAUCAGAUCAGACCAGCACAAAUACAUUGGUUCAAUCUGAUACAAAAGACCUUACCUAGCCACUUCUGCUUUGUAAUCUUAUGCUUUUUGUCAAGCUGUGCAACUUUUUUCCAUAAGGACCAUUCUCUAUGUUUUUGGUAAUGCUAACGGUCCAUGAAAAACAAUCAACCAAAACAGCAGACAUUUUGUACAUCUACGGAUCAAUGUACAUAAAAGCUUUUUUGCUAUU